ACGACGCUGGCGGCGUGCCUAAUACAUGCAAGUCGAACGGCUUUUCUAUGGAAGCUUGCUUCCGCUGAGAAGAUAGUGGCGGACGGGUGAGUAACACGUGGGUAACCUGCCCAUAAGAGGGGGAUAACAUCCGGAAACGGGUGCUAAUACCGCAUAGUUUUUCUGAUCGCAUGAUCGGGAAAGGAAAGACGGCCUUUGUGCUGUCGCUUAUGGAUGGACCCGCGGCGUAUUAGUUAGUUGGUGAGGUAAUGGCUCACCAAGACGAUGAUACGUAGCCGACCUGAGAGGGUGAUCGGCCACAUUGGGACUGAGACACGGCCCAAACUCCUACGGGAGGCAGCAGUAGGGAAUCUUCCGCAAUGGACGAAAGUCUGACGGAGCAACGCCGCGUGAGUGAAGAAGGUUUUCGGAUCGUAAAACUCUGUUGUCAGAGAAGAACAAGUCGGAGAGUAACUGCUCCGGCCUUGACGGUAUCUGACCAGAAAGCCACGGCUAACUACGUG
rnacentral:rRNA from 1 species